rnacentral:rRNA from 1 species
CAGUAGGGUGCCAUCAAGAGGUGUAUUUGGAAAUAUCCCUAAUACAGGAUCAAUC